ensembl:snRNA U12 U12 minor spliceosomal RNA
AUGCCUUAAACUGAUGAGUAAGGAAAAUAACGACGCGGGGUGACGCCCGUGUCCUCGUACAAUUAACGAGAUUAAUUUUUGAAAGGGCACAGGUCUGCCUGCUGAGGUGACUCGCCUACUUUGCGAGAUGCCUCGUGGGACAAGGACCUUCCCC